GGUCAUGGCUGGGUCUUCCAGCAUGACAAUGACCCCAAACACAGAGCCAGAGCAACUAAGCAGGGGCUCCGUAAGAAGCAUUUCAAGGUCCUGGAGUGGUCUGGCCAGUCUCCAGAUGUGAACUCAACAGGAAAUCUUUGUAGGGAGCUGAAACUCCAAACCUGAAAGAUUUGGAGAAGAUCUGUAUGGAGGAGUGGACCAAAAUCCCUACUGAUGUGUGCAAACUUGGGCAAGAACUACAGGAAACAUCUGACCUCUGUAAUGGCAA